ensembl:lncRNA
AAAUCUGUAAAGUGUUGGUGAUUAUGAAAAUGCCAUUGUUUUUAGAUGUUUCUUUCCUAAACGCUAUUUUGUGACGUGUGGUUGUGGUGACGUUGAUCUCUGAACACCGUCGAUGAGACUCAGAGUGUCAGAAUAGACACGCGCUGGUUUUGCUAAGUGAAGAUUAAGACUAUACUUUCAGGGAUCAUUUCUAUAGUUCUUAACUAGGAAAUGUGUUUCGAAAGUGUUGCGUCUCCCAAACCACGAUGAUGAGUUUUGAUAUUCUUUUCUGAGCGUGAAUCGGGUGUAGAGUAAUGAUUCAUUUCAUAAGCUCUUCAUCAUUGAUGAACGUUCCUUACUGCGCUUUUGCAGUCUGGAGGAAAAGGGUAUGAUCAGAGUGGUUUUAUAUUUGAAGUUGAAAAUAAAAUUGAAAUACAUAUGAUGUGGUUAUAGAAAUUGAAAAAUUUUAAGAAACGUAUAGGUAUGUAGGUGUGUUCCAUUUUGUGUAAACUGAGCUAAAUUCGAAUUAACGAAUUUUAAUCGCUGUGAAAGUAUGUUGUUUUUGGUUCUCUGAAUUCUAGAACUGAUAAUACGAAUUAAGUUUAGUAUUGUGUAUUCAGUAAUCAUUGCUGUAGCAUUGAAAUAUGUUCGUUAUUGUGUUUUUGUAAGUAUGGAGAAAAAGAAUAUGAUUAGUGUUUUCGUUAGUUGUUAAUGGUAGACUUAAUGAACUGUAAGUUUUAUUAGUGUUUUUUGUUUUUCAUGGUUCUCGUUUUAUAGAGAUAACUUUACACUUGGAAUUAUUCAAUUUGCAAUUAUUUUUCAUUUGUAUUACUAUUAUUAUUGUUUUAAUUAUUUUAAUGAGACACUAAAAAUGCUAUUGUUUCAGAUGUAACUUUUCUCAUUGCAGUUGUUAGGUUGUGUCACCGUCUUUGACACUCAGAGUGACAGAAGUGACGAGAGCUGGUUUUAAACAGUGAAGAUUAAGACUAUACUUUCAGGGAUCAUUUCUAUAGUACUUAACUAGGAAAUGUGUUUCGAAAGUGUUGCGUGUCCCAAACCACGAUGAUGAGUUCUGAUACUCUUUUCUGAGCGUGAAUCGGGUGUAGAGUAAUGAUUUAUUUCAUAAGUUCUGCAUCAUUGAUGAACGUUCCUUAUUGCGCUUUUGCAGUUUGGAGGAAAAGGGUAUGAUCAGAGUGGUUUUAUGUUUUAGUUAAAAAAUAGAACUGAAAUAGAUGUGUUAUCGCUGUUGUGGUUAAAAAACUUUAAGAAAUUUUUAGGUAUGAAUUUGUAGGUGUUUUCCAAUGUGUGAACAUAAAUAAAUUCGAAUUUACAAGUUUUUAUCGAUGUUAA